GACGAACGCUGGCGGCGUGCCUAAUACAUGCAAGUCGAGCGAAUCAAUAGGAGCUUGCUCCUGUUGAUUAGCGGCGGACGGGUGAGUAACACGUGGGCAACCUGCCUGUAAGACUGGGAUAACUUCGGGAAACCGGAGCUAAUACCGGAUAAUCCUUUUCCUCUCAUGAGGAAAAGCUGAAAGUCGGUUUCGGCUGACACUUACAGAUGGGCCCGCGGCGCAUUAGCUAGUCGGUGAGGUAACGGCUCACAAAGGCGACGAUGCGUAGCCGACCUGAGAGGGUGAUCGGCCACACUGGGACUGAGACACGGCCCAGACUCCUACGGGAGGCAGCAGUAGGGAAUCUUCCGCAAUGGACGAAAGUCUGACGGAGCAACGCCGCGUGAGCGAUGAAGGCCUUCGGGUCGUAAAGCUCUGUUGUUAGGGAAGAACAAGUAUCGGAGUAACUGCCGGUACCUUGACGGUACCUAACCAGAAAGCCACGGCUAACUACGUGCCAGCCGCCGCGGUAA
rnacentral:rRNA from 1 species